rnacentral:rRNA from 1 species
GACGUAGGGUGCAAGCGUUGUCCGGAUUUAUUGGGCGUAAAGAGCUCGUAGGCGGCUUGUUGCGUCGACUGUGAAAACCCGCGGCUUAACCGCGGGCUUGCAGUUGAUACGGGCAGGCUAGAGUUCGGUAGGGGAGACUGGAAUUCCUGGUGUAGCGGUGAAAUGCGCAGAUAUCAGGAGGAACACCGAUGGCGAAGGCAGAUCUCUGGGCCGUAACUGACGCUGAGGAGCGAAAGCAUGGGGAGCGAACAGG